rnacentral:tRNA from 1 species
AUUUAAAUAGUUUAAUAAAAACAUUGAUUUGUGGAAUCAAAAAUAUAAAUUUUUUAUUUUAAAUA